rnacentral:rRNA from 1 species
UUAAGCGACUAAGCGUACACGGUGGAUGCCCUGGCAGUCAGAGGCGAUGAAGGACGUGCUAAUCUGCGAUAAGCGUCGGUAAGGUGAUAUGAACCGUUAUAACCGGCGAUUUCCGAAUGGGGAAACCCAGUGUGAUUCGUCACACUAUCAUUAACUGAAUCCAUAGGUUAAUGAGGCGAACCGGGGGAACUGAAACAUCUAAGUACCCCGAGGAAAAGAAAUCAACCGAGAUUCCCCCAGUAGCGGCGAGCGAACGGGGAGGAGCCCAGAGCCUGAAUCAGUGUGUGUGUUAGUGGAAGCGUCUGGAAAGGCGCGCGAUACAGGGUGACAGCCCCGUACACAAAAAUGCACAUACUGUGAGCUCGAUGAGUAGGGCGGGACACGUGGUAUCCUGUCUGAAUAUGGGGGGACCAUCCUCCAAGGCUAAAUACUCCUGACUGACCGAUAGUGAACCAGUACCGUGAGGGAAAGGCGAAAAGAACCCCGGCGAGGGGAGUGAAAAAGAACCUGAAACCGUGUACGUACAAGCAGUGGGAGCCUCUUUUAUGGGGUGACUGCGUACCUUUUGUAUAAUGGGUCAGCGACUUAUAUUCUGUAGCAAGGUUAACCGAAUAGGGGAGCCGAAGGGAAACCGAGUCUUAACCGGGCGUUAAGUUGCAGGGUAUAGACCCGAAACCCGGUGAUCUAGCCAUGGGCAGGUUGAAGGUUGGGUAACACUAACUGGAGGACCGAACCGACUAAUGUUGAAAAAUUAGCGGAUGACUUGUGGCUGGGGGUGAAAGGCCAAUCAAACCGGGAGAUAGCUGGUUCUCCCCGAAAGCUAUUUAGGUAGCGCCUCGUGAAUUCAUCUCCGGGGGUAGAGCACUGUUUCGGCAAGGGGGUCAUCCCGACUUACCAACCCGAUGCAAACUGCGAAUACCGGAGAAUGUUAUCACGGGAGACAUACGGCGGGUGCUAACGUCCGUCGUGAAGAGGGAAACAACCCAGACCGCCAGCUAAGGUCCCAAAGUCAUGGUUAAGUGGGAAACGAUGUGGGAAGGCCCAGACAGCCAGGAUGUUGGCUUAGAAGCAGCCAUCAUUUAAAGAAAGCGUAAUAGCUCACUGGUCGAGUCGGCCUGCGCGGAAGAUGUAACGGGGCUAAACCAUGCACCGAAGCUGCGGCAGCGACACUGUGUGUUGUUGGGUAGGGGAGCGUUCUGUAAGCCUGUGAAGGUGUACUGUGAGGUAUGCUGGAGGUAUCAGAAGUGCGAAUGCUGACAUAAGUAACGAUAAAGCGGGUGAAAAGCCCGCUCGCCGGAAGACCAAGGGUUCCUGUCCAACGUUAAUCGGGGCAGGGUGAGUCGACCCCUAAGGCGAGGCCGAAAGGCGUAGUCGAUGGGAAACAGGUUAAUAUUCCUGUACUUGGUGUUACUGCGAAGGGGGGACGGAGAAGGCUAUGUUGGCCGGGCGACGGUUGUCCCGGUUUAAGCGUGUAGGCUGGUUUUCCAGGCAAAUCCGGAAAAUCAAGGCUGAGGCGUGAUGACGAGGCACUACGGUGCUGAAGCAACAAAUGCCCUGCUUCCAGGAAAAGCCUCUAAGCAUCAGGUAACAUCAAAUCGUACCCCAAACCGACACAGGUGGUCAGGUAGAGAAUACCAAGGCGCUUGAGAGAACUCGGGUGAAGGAACUAGGCAAAAUGGUGCCGUAACUUCGGGAGAAGGCACGCUGAUAUGUAGGUGAAGUCCCUCGCGGAUGGAGCUGAAAUCAGUCGAAGAUACCAGCUGGCUGCAACUGUUUAUUAAAAACACAGCACUGUGCAAACACGAAAGUGGACGUAUACGGUGUGACGCCUGCCCGGUGCCGGAAGGUUAAUUGAUGGGGUCAGCGCAAGCGAAGCUCUUGAUCGAAGCCCCGGUAAACGGCGGCCGUAACUAUAACGGUCCUAAGGUAGCGAAAUUCCUUGUCGGGUAAGUUCCGACCUGCACGAAUGGCGUAAUGAUGGCCAGGCUGUCUCCACCCGAGACUCAGUGAAAUUGAACUCGCUGUGAAGAUGCAGUGUACCCGCGGCAAGACGGAAAGACCCCGUGAACCUUUACUAUAGCUUGACACUGAACAUUGAGCCUUGAUGUGUAGGAUAGGUGGGAGGCUUUGAAGUGUGGACGCCAGUCUGCAUGGAGCCGACCUUGAAAUACCACCCUUUAAUGUUUGAUGUUCUAACGUGGACCCGUGAUCCGGGUUGCGGACAGUGUCUGGUGGGUAGUUUGACUGGGGCGGUCUCCUCCUAAAGAGUAACGGAGGAGCACGAAGGUUGGCUAAUCCUGGUCGGACAUCAGGAGGUUAGUGCAAUGGCAUAAGCCAGCUUGACUGCGAGCGUGACGGCGCGAGCAGGUGCGAAAGCAGGUCAUAGUGAUCCGGUGGUUCUGAAUGGAAGGGCCAUCGCUCAACGGAUAAAAGGUACUCCGGGGAUAACAGGCUGAUACCGCCCAAGAGUUCAUAUCGACGGCGGUGUUUGGCACCUCGAUGUCGGCUCAUCACAUCCUGGGGCUGAAGUAGGUCCCAAGGGUAUGGCUGUUCGCCAUUUAAAGUGGUACGCGAGCUGGGUUUAGAACGUCGUGAGACAGUUCGGUCCCUAUCUGCCGUGGGCGCUGGAGAACUGAGGGGGGCUGCUCCUAGUACGAGAGGACCGGAGUGGACGCAUCACUGGUGUUCGGGUUGUCAUGCCAAUGGCACUGCCCGGUAGCUAAAUGCGGAAGAGAUAAGUGCUGAAAGCAUCUAAGCACGAAACUUGCCCCGAGAUGAGUUCUCCCUGACCCUUUAAGGGUCCUGAAGGAACGUUGAAGACGACGACGUUGAUAGGCCGGGUGUGUAAGCGCAGCGAUGCGUUGAGCUAACCGGUACUAAUGAACCGUGAGGCUUAACCU